CCUGGCUCAGGAUGAACGCUAGCUACAGGCUUAACACAUGCAAGUCGAGGGGCAGCAUGGUCUUAGCUUGCUAAGGCCGAUGGCGACCGGCGCACGGGUGAGUAACACGUAUCCAACCUGCCGUCUACUCUUGGACAGCCUUCUGAAAGGAAGAUUAAUACAAGAUGGCAUCAUGAGUCCGCAUGUUCACAUGAUUAAAGGUAUUCCGGUAGACGAUGGGGAUGCGUUCCAUUAGAUAGUAGGCGGGGUAACGGCCCACCUAGUCUUCGAUGGAUAGGGGUUCUGAGAGGAAGGUCCCCCACAUUGGAACUGAGACACGGUCCAAACUCCUACGGGAGGCAGCAGUGAGGAAUAUUGGUCAAUGGGCGAGAGCCUGAACCAGCCAAGUAGCGUGAAGGAUGACUGCCCUAUGGGUUGUAAACUUCUUUUAUAAAGGAAUAAAGUCGGGUAUGCAUACCCGUUUGCAUGUACUUUAUGAAUAAGGAUCGGCUAACUCCGUGCCAGCAGCCGCGGUAAUACGGAGGAUCCGAGCGUUAUCCGGAUUUAUUGGGUUUAAAGGGAGCGUAGAUGGAUGUUUAAGUCAGUUGUGAAAGUUUGCGGCUCAACCGUAAAAUUGCAGUUGAUACUGGAUAUCUUGAGUGCAGUUGAGGCAGGCGGAAUUCGUGGUGUAGCGGUGAAAUGCUUAGAUAUCACGAAGAACUCCGAUUGCGAAGGCAGCCUGCUAAGCUGCAACUGACAUUGAGGCUCGAAAGUGUGGGUAUCAAACAGGAUUAGAUACCCUGGUAGUCCACACGGUAAACGAUGAAUACUCGCUGUUUGCGAUAUACAGCAAGCGGCCAAGCGAAAGCGUUAAGUAUUCCACCUGGGGAGUACGCCGGCAACGGUGAAACUCAAAGGAAUUGACGGGGGCCCGCACAAGCGGAGGAACAUGUGGUUUAAUUCGAUGAUACGCGAGGAACCUUACCCGGGCUUAAAUUGCAGAUGAAUUACGGUGAAAGCCGUAAGCCGCAAGGCAUCUGUGAAGGUGCUGCAUGGUUGUCGUCAGCUCGUGCCGUGAGGUGUCGGCUUAAGUGCCAUAACGAGCGCAACCCUUGUUGUCAGUUACUAACAGGUUCUGCUGAGGACUCUGACAAGACUGCCAUCGUAAGAUGUGAGGAAGGUGGGGAUGACGUCAAAUCAGCACGGCCCUUACGUCCGGGGCUACACACGUGUUACAAUGGGGGGUACAGAGGGCCGCUACCACGCGAGUGGAUGCCAAUCCCAAAAACCUCUCUCAGUUCGGACUGGAGUCUGCAACCCGACUCCACGAAGCUGGAUUCGCUAGUAAUCGCGCAUCAGCCACGGCGCGGUGAAUACGUUCCCGGGCCUUGUACACACCGCC
rnacentral:rRNA from 1 species